AUUUACAAGCAGAGUCCCAAACAGGACGAAACGCGCGUCCUGGAU
rnacentral:hammerhead_ribozyme from 1 species